rnacentral:rRNA from 1 species
UACGUAUGGAGCAAGCGUUAUCCGGAUUUACUGGGUGUAAAGGGAGCGCAGGCGGUCUGGCAAGUCUGAUGUGAAAGGCCGGGGCUCAACUCCGGGACUGCAUUGGAAACUGUCAGACUGGAGUGUCGGAGAGGUAAGCGGAAUUCCUAGUGUAGCGGUGAAAUGCGUAGAUAUUAGGAGGAACACCGGCGGCGAAGGCGGCCUGCUGGACCGUAACUGACGUUGAGGCUCGAAAGCGUGGGGAGCAAACAGG